AGCUUGCUCUGUGGAUCAGUGGCGAACGGGUGAGUAACACGUGAGCAAUCUGCCCCUGACUCUGGGAUAAGCGCUGGAAACGGCGUCUAAUACCGGAUACGAGCUGCGACCGCAUGGUCAGUAGCUGGAAAGAAUUUCGGUCAGGGAUGAGCUCGCGGCCUAUCAGCUUGUUGGUGAGGUAAUGGCUCACCAAGGCGUCGACGGGUAGCCGGCCUGAGAGGGUGACCGGCCACACUGGGACUGAGACACGGCCCAGACUCCUACGGGAGGCAGCAGUGGGGAAUAUUGCACAAUGGGCGAAAGCCUGAUGCAGCAACGCCGCGUGAGGGAUGACGGCCUUCGGGUUGUAAACCUCUUUUAGCAGGGAAGAAGCGAAAGUGACGGUACCUGCAGAAAAAGCGCCGGCUAACUACGUGCCAGCAGCCGCGGUAAUACGUAGGGCGCAAGCGUUAUCCGGAAUUAUUGGGCGUAAAGAGCUCGUAGGCGGUCUGUCGCGUCUGCUGUGAAAACCCGAGGCUCAACCUCGGGCCUGCAGUGGGUACGGGCAGACUAGAGUGCGGUAGGGGAGAUUGGAAUUCCUGGUGUAGCGGUGGAAUGCGCAGAUAUCAGGAGGAACACCGAUGGCGAAGGCAGAUCUCUGGGCCGUAACUGACGCUGAGGAGCG
rnacentral:rRNA from 1 species